CCCUUAGAUGUUCUGGGCCGCACGCGCGCUACACUGACGAAUUCAACGAGCUUUUACUAUAUUUGUAGUAAAUUCCUUUAUCGGAAGAUAUGGGUAAUCUUUAAAUGUUUGUCGUGAUGGGGCUAGAUUUUUGCAAUUAUUAAUCUCCAACGAGGAAUUCCUAGUAAACGCAAGUCAUCAGCUUGCAUUGAAUACGUCCCUGCCCUUUGUACACACCGCCCGUCGCUCCUACCGAUCGAAGAGUUAGGUGAAUUGUUUUGAUCGAUAAGAUUUGACUAUGGUCAACUCUCGUUGUGAAAUUCUGUGAAUCUGACUGUUUAGAGGAAGGAAAAGUCGUAACA
rnacentral:rRNA from 1 species